rnacentral:lncRNA from 10 species
ACCCACAGAGGCGACCAUCUAGUUGCAGGAAAAUAAGCUCAGCAAUAAUUAAUAGCCUACCAACCAAAAAAAGUCCAGGACCAGAUGGAUUCACAGGAUUGACAUGUUAUUAACCAAGCUAAGAAAGGUGGUAGAAGCAAGUCUGGGAGGAAAACUAAGGAUUUGUUUUUAGGCAUGUUGAAUUUCACUUACUUUGGUCUGCAAUGAUGGAGAAGAAACUGAUCUGACAAGUCUGUAUUUUCCAGACAAUAAGGCUGAAAACAGUGUAAAGAAGUGUGAUGAUUCAGGUCAAUGAGGUAAUUGAAGAAACGUCAUGACAACCAAAAUUAAAAUGACCAGUUUCCCAUUUGCAUGUGCCAGCAAUUCCUCAGGAAAUCUUUCUGGUUGCUUUUUGCUCCUAUUAGACAGGAUAAUGUGGCUACAAAUUAUAUCCAACUGAGAGAGGAUUGACUCAUCCUCAGCAGGUAUUGUGGGAGCAGAUAA